AAUGUACCACAGGAAACACACAUUCUGACUAGUGUAUUAAAAUGCUGUUCAUUCUGACCAAGGCAACAAACAGAUCUCUCUGAAACAAGAAUUAAUCCAUAAACAAGACUGCACAUAUCCUUUUCAGAAAUGAGAACCUUAGUAGUUGUGGUGAGAAAAAUGGAAUUCAAUGUGAUGGAAAAGCAACUAUAGAUGUGUAUGCAGAGCAGCAUUAAGUGUGACAAGGAAGGUGGAAUAACAUGGACUGAAUAUAGAACUGAGGCCGUGGAUCAGUCAUGCCACACAUUUCUCAGAUGGAUACAACUGUACCAAAUUUACUACCAAGACAGUCCAACCAAUUGAUCCUCAGUCUGCCAAACCCAGGCAGUGCAGUGACAAGUGAUCUUUUCCUGGAGGAGCUAAAGUGUUCUGUGUUUAAGGGAUGUGACUGAGAUCACGUGGAUCAUAACUGGAAAAACCUGGAUGUGAA
rnacentral:lncRNA from 1 species